CAAGAUAGUGAUAUUAAGCAAAACCCAAAAAAGCAGUCUCAGUUCGGAUUGAAGGCUGAAAUUCGCCUUCAUGAAGCCGGAAUUGCUAGUAAUGGCAGGUCAGCAUACUGCCGCGAAUACGUUCCCGGGCCUUGUACACACCGCCCGUCACACCAUGAGAGUUGGGAAUACCCGAAGCCUGUGAGCUAACUUUUAGAGGCAGCAGUCGAAGGUAGAAUCAAUGAUUGGGGUGAAGUCGUAACAAGGUAUC
rnacentral:rRNA from 1 species